rnacentral:misc_RNA from 1 species
UCACCCCUCAAGCCCCCGGCUUGGUGUUGGACGGUUUGGUGGAGGCCCCUCGCGGGCACCUGCCCCUCCUAAAGACAAUGACGGCGGCCUCGUUGGACCCCCGGUACACUGAGUUCUUCACGGGACACGUAUCGGACACAUGGGUUUACGGGGCACGGUCUGCCUCCCCUCAGGGAGAAUUUUAUCAA